CCCAAGGUUUACAUCUGCACAGUCUUUUUGGGACAACAAGAGGCAUUACACUCACUUUUGGGAAACAGUUCUCUGGAUGGCAGAAGAGCACAGGGCCUUGCUGGAGAGAUGCAGCUAGUCAAGAGAGAGCGACUACAACGGAACCAAAUACCUGAGUGGAGAAAUCUAAUACAAGGACCUAGUCUUCAUAUGCCAUAAUGUAACCCUCACAAGACAAAAGUACACCAUGAAGCCAGUGGAGAUCCAGACACAACAGCCUUUGAUCCCCCUUUGGAAAAACUGGAAGUGACUGACUGCAACUGACUUGCAUGACCAAUCUGAGUCCCUGAGAACUUCUGACCCAAUUUAAAUUCUGUGUCCUGUGAAAAAUUGCCUGUCGAUGUGCUUCAGAACAUUCUUAAGCAAAUGUCGGGCUCCAAAAGCCAGUGACGCCACAGGAGUGAUGACGGUGGGAAGUCGAGCCCAGGGGUAGAGAAGAGUGAACCCCAAAGCCUCUGCACGUCUGCCCCAAAGACAACUCGGCAAACGGUGAUGUUCCUUCACUGUUUGGAAGCUCAGUGACUUCUUCCUCACGACCUGCAUCCCCAGAACUGUGUGACAGACACAUCUCCUGCCAAAUAGGCCUCCAGCUCUGACAAAUGCCCUGUGGAUGUUGGGUCUGUUUGCUCUGCAGUGUGCUGGGCCACUUGAUUCCACUUUUUUUUUUGCACAUAACUAUAAAUUUUGAGGCUUCGAGAGCUACCAUAAAAUUUUGUAUGUUUUGUCUCAUUUCAUACAGGAAUUUCUAAAUCUUAGGACUUAGGCUGCUUAGAAAACCCUCUAUGGAAACCCUCUGGUCGUGCAAAACUGAUCAUGUAACCCUAAAACAUGUUCUGCAUCCACAACACUUCUCAAUAUGUUCCAUGAGGCCUGUUAAUUCAUUAAGGGCUAUUAGCUGCAAAGUUAUGGAUACUUAUUUCAGGUAAGGAAACCCUUAAAAUACAGUUAUAGGCAUAGUCUAUAGGAUCAUUACUGAUCCUCUUAGACACUUGAUGCUGUGAGUUGGGGGUACCCAACACACUAUGGCCGUGUAGAAGUUUAUCAAGCCGAACUAAAUUUAACCAUGGACUUCUAAGUUAAGAAAAGAAGAUUUAAUCAGACCAUAUUAAAUUUCAUGAAUAACAAUCAAAAAUAUUCUGAUUUUAGUCUUGGAUCAAAAGA